AUAUUACUAAGCGGAGGAAAAGAAAUUAACGAAGAUUGCCUCAGUAGCGGCGAGCGAAGUGGCAAAAGCUCAAGUUAAAUCUGUGGCCUUCGGUCACCGAAUCGUAAUCUAAAGGGGUUAACAAAAGGGAAGAUUGAGGCAUAAGUCGCUUGGAACAGCGCGCCAAAGAGGGUGAUAGCCCCGUAUUUGGCCUCCGUCGACCUGAAUGUUGGCUCUCACAGAGUCGGGUUGUUUGGGAUUGCAGCCCUAAAUGGGAGAUAAAUUUCUUCUAAGGCUAAAUAUUGAUGGGAGACCGAUAGCGCACAAGUA
rnacentral:rRNA from 1 species